AACGAACGCUGGCGGCAUGCCUAACACAUGCAAGUCGAACGAGACCUUCGGGUCUAGUGGCGCACGGGUGCGUAACGCGUGGGAACCUGCCCUUAGGUUCGGAAUAACUCCCCGAAAGGGGUGCUAAUACCGGAUAAUGUCUUCGGACCAAAGAUUUAUCGCCUUUGGAUGGGCCCGCGUUGGAUUAGCUAGUUGGUAGGGUAAAAGCCUACCAAGGCGACGAUCCAUAGCUGGUCUGAGAGGAUGAUCAGCCACACUGGUACUGAGACACGGCCCAGACUCCUACGGGAGGCAGCAGUGGGGAAUAUUGGACAAUGGGCGAAAGCCUGAUACAGCAAUGCCGCGUGAGUGAUGAAGGCCUUAGGGUUGUAAAGCUCUUUUACCCGGGAUGAUAAUGACAGUACCGGGAGAAUAAGCACCGGCUAACUACGUG
rnacentral:rRNA from 1 species